GAUGAACGUUAGCAGAAAGCUUAACACAUGCAAGUCGAAUGCUAGCUUGCUAGCAUGGCAAACGGGCGAGUAACGCGUACUUAACCUGCCUUGAGGUAGAGGAUAACCAUGGAAACGUGGAUAAUCCGCUAUAAGCUCUUAAAGUUGAGAUACUUAAAGAGGAAAGGUAUAUCCGCCUUAAGAGGGGGGUGCGUAUCAACAGCUAGUUGGUAAGGUAAAGGCUUACCAAGGCUAUGACGGUUAGCCGGCCUGAGAGGGUGAACGGCCGCAACGGGACUGAGACACGGCCCGUACUCCUACGGGAGGCAGCAGUGAGGAAUCUUGGACAAUGGGGGGAACCCUGAUCCAGCUAUUCUGCGUGAAGGAUGAAGCUUUUCGGAGUGUAAACUUCUUUUCUGGGGGAAGACGAAUGACGGUACCUCAGGAAUAAGGGGCGGCUAACUACGUGCCAGCAGCCGCGGUAAUACGUAGGCCUCGAACGUUAUCCGGAGUUACUGGGCGUAAAGGGUCUGUAGCCGGAGAUAUAAGUCUAUCUUCAAAUACUGAAGCUCAACUUCAGGAGGGGGUAGAUACUGUAUUUCUAGAGAUACUCGGGGGUUAGUAGAAUUUCCGGUGGAGCGGUGGAAUGCGUUGAUAUCGGAAGGAAUGCCAAAAGUGAAGACAGCUAACUACGUGUAAUCUGACGGUGAUAGACGAAAGCAUAGGUAGCAAACAGGAUUAGAUACCCUGGUAGUCUAUGCUGUAAACGAUGUGAGCUAAGAGUUGGUCGAUAGAUCAGUUCUGAACCUAACGGGAUAAGCUCACCGCCUGGGGAGUAUAGCCGCAAGGCCGAAACUCAAAAGGAUAGGCGGGGGAACACACAAGUAGUGGAUUGUCUCGAUUAAUUGGAUAAUAAGCCAAGAAUCUUACCCAGGCUUGACAUCCUUGGAAUCUGACCGAAAGGUUGGAGUGCCUAGCUUAGCUAGGAGCCAAGUGACAGGUGCUGCAUGGCCGUCGUCAGCUCGUGCCGCAAGGUGUUCGGUUAAUUCCGAUAACGAGCGCAACCCUUGCCCUUAGUUAGAAAUGUCUAAGGGGACUGCUCUGGUAACGGAGAGGAAGGAGAGGACGACGUCAGGUCAUCAUGGCCCUUAUGUCUGGGGCUUCAGAGGCGAUACAAUGGGGCGAAACAAACCGAAGCGAAGGGGUGACCUGGAGCGAAUCGGAUAAAACGUCUCUAAGUACGGAUUGUAGUCUGGAAAUGACUACAUGAAGUUGGAAUUGCUAGUAAUGGUGGAGUCAGAACACCACCGUGAAUAUGU
rnacentral:rRNA from 1 species